AUUGAACGCUGGCGGCAUGCUUUACACAUGCAAGUCGAACGGCAGCGCGGGCUUCGGCCUGGCGGCGAGUGGCGAACGGGUGAGUAAUACAUCGGAACGUGCCCAGUAGUGGGGGAUAGCUCGGCGAAAGCCGGAUUAAUACCGCAUACGACCUGAGGGUGAAAGCGGGGGAUCUUCGGACCUCGCGCUAUUGGAGCGGCCGAUGGCAGAUUAGCUAGUUGGUGGGGUAAAGGGCUACCAAGGCGACGAUCUGUAGCUGGUCUGAGAGGACGACCAGCCACACUGGGACAGAGACACGGUCCAGACUCCCACGGGAGGCAGCAGUGGGGAAUCUUGCGCAAUGGGCGAAAGCUUGACCGAGCAACGCGGCGCGUGUGAUGAAGGCCUUCGGGUUGUAAAGCACUUUUGGCGGGAACGAAAAGGACUGUGCCAAUACCACGGUUUGAUGACGGUACCCGCAGAAUAAGCACCGGCUAACUACGUG
rnacentral:rRNA from 1 species